UACGUAGGGUGCGAGCGUUAAUCGGAAUUACUGGGCGUAAAGCGUGCGCAGGCGGUUUUGUAAGACUGUCGUGAAAUCCCCGGGCUCAACCUGGGAAUGGCGAUGGUGACUGCAAGGCUAGAGUUUGGCAGAGGGGGGUAGAAUUCCACGUGUAGCAGUGAAAUGCGUAGAGAUGUGGAGGAACACCGAUGGCGAAGGCAGCCCCCUGGGUCAAGACUGACGCUCAUGCACGAAAGCGUGGGGAGCAAACAGG
rnacentral:rRNA from 1 species